UCCACGUCAGGACUCCAGCAGCUGCUGCUCCGUGGAAAUGGGCCCAAUGGGAAGUCGCCGGCUGACAGACAGGAGCGGCCAGCACACACUUUGGCCACGUUGCCACGACAUUAUGACGAAGGACCAGUGCCACGAGGGACCGCUACCAGGAGGGCUCGCUGCCUCAAAGGGUGGCAGGCGCCCAGUCGCCCACUGCCACGCCCCUUGAGGGUCCCAGCCCCGGGUGGGUCCCAGCCCCGGGUGGAUCCGCAGCCGGCCGAGUCCAUCCUCCUCCCACCCAACCGCCAUGCGCUCGGUCCAGCCUGCGGGGCGGACCCCGACGGUCUGACGGGCGAGAGCAGCUCCGGCCUCCGUCCUGCCCAGCGGAGAGUUCAAGGAGGGAACCACCCAGCUGGUCUUCCCUGUGAUUGGCUGGACGGGAAAAAGGCCGGCGGUGAUUGGCCCGACCGGACACGCCGCGGCACGCACGCCGCCAGACCGGCGGGCUCCCACGAUUGGUGCAGACGCGUCGCCCCGCCCCGCCCCGCACGUCACUACCCGGCGUGCCGCGCGGCGCUUCCCCUCCGCCCGCUAAUGUUUUGGCCGAUUCAAGAUGGCGGUGCAGGAGUCGGCUGCUCAGCUCUCCAUGACCCUGAAGGUGCAGGAGUACCCGACCCUCAAGGCCUCCACCAGGUAGGCCUUCACGCUGUCCAGUUCCUGCCUGGAGCCUCGUGAGCCUGACCCACCCAGGGCACCGCUGAAGCUGCCGCCCGUGGACCCCGCUCCUCGCCCGGCAGUCGCAGCCCCUGGUGGGUAGCGACCCACACGACAAGACUCCAGCCGGUGCAUCUGCCUCCUGAGCCUGGGGCGUCGCGGCGGGGCGGGCCCGGAUGACGGAGGGUGCCCGCUGGUCGCAGGCAGGCUGUGUCUUGAAAGUAUUAUUUAAAACAGACGUCAAGUCAAGAAAAGAAAGGGCUUUCUAGUGUCAAGUUCUCGUGACUGAUGGGCUGAGCUACAGCACUAACCCUGGCCCUGGGCAAGUGGCAGCAACAGGCAGGGGACCGCUGGCUUCAGGGUCUGAAUGGCCCUGGCAGCUGAACGCAUCGCAUCUGCUCUGUCAGUGUCCUCGUGACAGACCUGGAGGCCCCCUCACCAGGCUCCUCCCAGGCUCACAGCCACCGUGCACCCUCUCUCUGACGCAUCCUUGCUGCGACCUCUCUGUCUUGGUGACCUGUGUGGUCUCGUGCUGUGAGGACCCCACCGGCGUCCAGAAGCACAUCAGCUUCCUCACCUGAUCUCGGCAAGGGACUGCGGCACGCACAGCUCACACUGGCCCCCCAGACGCCCUCUUCGCCCUCCCUUCAGCGUACCCGAGCCUCACCGUGUGUCCCCCAUUCCCCCUCCCCUGCCGCCAUGCCCAAGACCACCAUCUGUCUGGACCGAAGGAGAAGCCUGACUGGGCUCCUGCUCUGCUAUGCCCAGCAGCCAGCGCAUCGCCGCAUGGCGCCUUCUGCUCUGGGAGCUUCCAGUCUUCCCGGGGUAAAGGCCACGGUUGCUAGAGUGGCCCCAGGCCCUUUGCGACGUGGCCUCCUGCCUGCCCUUCCGCUGCCCCGCGUCGCCUGCUCCUGGGUACUUCGUCACAGCCGCCUCCCUGCUGAUACCAAGACCCGCCUUCGCGCUUGUUUGCUCCGCCCGGAGCCCUUUCCCCCAGACGUCCACGGGGCUCGCUCCCCGGCCUGCUCGGGGCUCUGCUCAGGGGCCACCUUCUCAGCGAAAGCCCUUGUUCAAGCGGAAGCCCCUUUGUCUCUCUCCUUAGUCGCUGCUUCCACCUGCUGUAUCACAUUCCGCUUCGUUCCUAACCAGCGGGUUCGAAGCUCCGUGGAGCCGGGGGAGAAGUAACGCUUGGAUUAGACGAGCUGUUUGGCGUUCCCGUGGCAGCACCCUGCACGGCGGGAGAAAUUGGAACAGACGCAAAUGUAGCUGAUCGAAUGGGGGAGACGUAACAGUUUACGAACCCAGAGAACAAAAGCCAGCUAACUGGGAACCAAUGACAGUGAGAAAGGUCAACGCCAUAACUGCGCAGUUGCCACUCAUGCAAAACUUGGUCACUUUUCUGUACACUAGCAACAACCAGUUAAAGCCCAUCGUAGGAAAUUCCCCGUUCACAGUGACCUAGCGAAUGCCACGGCAGGGUUUAGCCCUCCCAGGCAGCGAGGUGCGUGCCGCGGAGGAGAUGGCCUGAGGGGAGACUGGCUGCAGCAGAGACCGUCAUGUUUCUGUUUGAAAAUACUAGUGACAGCUGUAAGGGACCGUGAGACCGUUCCUACUUAUCAUGCAGGAAUAGCGAAGGGGACCGGAGGCCGCUUGACACCAGAGUGGGGUAGAAGCUGCUAGAGUAGCAGCCUUGUGGCAGAACUGCUGGCUCCUGUUUACGUGUUGUGUCUAAAAAGUGAGAAGUUGUGUGUACGAAUCGAGCGCGGAGCCCACGCGUGCGCUUCCUGUUGCGUUCGGUCAGUGAGCCAUCCCGAGGGCUGAGGGAGGGCACUUGACCGCACGGAGGCAUGGCCCUGGCCCCCCAUCGUGCUGCCGGGUGCCGUGCUGCGUUGUGUGCAGCUCGCUGUGUUUCCCAUUUACUGCCCUUUCUGGAAUGGACCGGUGGCAUGGGAAGGUGUCUGCAGGUGAUGAGCAGGUGGCGGCUGAGACGGUCGAGCGAGCCCCAAGGGGAGCAUGCAGGGGCUGCCGCGUCCUCCCACCUCGGACUUCCCCAGCCGGUCACUCUGUGAGGUCAGAGCCUGCUGCGUCACGGCCCCUCAGAAGUCAGCCAGACGUGUGUCAUUCUUUAAGAAGCCUGUUUAAAGUGGGGGAUUCGAACCACUCCUGUCCUUGGUGAGCCGCCCUCGGGGUACAUGCUCAGCUCAGGGUAGCAUGAAGCCACCGUGAUUUCGAGACUGUCCCAUGCCACACACGAGAACACGAGACAGCUCUCCAGAACGGAGAGGGGUGUGUGCUGCCAUUCGGGGCUCAAGGAAAUGCUUUAGAAGAUGUCACUGGCAUUGUGAUAAGUGUUUAGAAACCUCUUCUGAGGUUUCUUAAUUGUGAAAGAUAAAAGGCCUCAUGCAGUGGGGAAACCCUACCUUCCUGUGCCGGUAAAGAUGGCUGAAAACAUGAGCAUGACAAAUGAAGAUGCAUUUCUCUGUCAGCAAACACUAUCCGCAGAGCCGCAGCCAACAUGGAGAGGGGCUGGAGACGCACCGGAAAGCAGACGGCACUGUGCGGGGGCACCGCGGGGGCACUGGACGAGAGCGCAGGUGCUUCAUAGCAGUCUCAGCUCGCGGUGUCUGCCAGGUCGUUUCAGCGGUGAAAACUGGAAGGAUUACUUUUCGUGAGUCGCUGAAGGGCACAGAUGGACGUGCUGGGGAAAAGGAUGACCAAUGGGGCUAGAGCAGUUAAAGGUCUUUGAAAAAAUUCACAUGAAGACCAGGGAGCUGUAUUGGUGAGUUCCGUCAAAUUUUUAAAGACCUCACACUGAUCCUUCACAAACUUCCAAAAAAUGGAAGAGAGAAAUUUCCCAACUCGUUUUAUGAGGUCAGUAUUACCCUGACACCAAAACCAGACAAAAAUGCCCCAGGAAAACGACAGACCAGUAUCCAGAUGAGUGGAUAUAGGCCCAAAUUCUCCACCAUGGUAAAACUCAAGACCCUUUCACGCUGGCACUCGACAUCCCAGAAUGGAAGAGGACUUCUCCGCCUGGCCAGAGUCUUCUGGACACCCACAGCGGGUGUCGUGCUUCGUGGCGACUGACCGAAGACUUUUCCCCUGGGGUCAGCAAGGAGACGGGCGCGCCCUCUCUCCGGACCAUUUGCCACCGCGCUGGGGCUUCUGAUCAGGGCAGCUGGGCGGGGGGAAGAAACGCGUUCAGACUGAAAGGCAGGAAGAGGGGUGUGUGCAGGCGAAGCGCUCUUGUGUGUGGAACGCCCUGAGGAGCACACACACCUGUCAGAACUGAGACUAGAUCGGCCAGGCUGCGGGCACAUCAGCAUGUCACGUGUGAGGGCCCCAGGGACCGCAUGCAAGGGGGAUCGUAGUGUUCGUGCGUGUGGCUGGCUGGCUCCCUUGGCGCCCUGCCCCCCUGUCCGUUGUUUAAGGCUGAGUGACAUCCGCUGGGUGAGUUCUCUCAUCCACAGAUGGACACCGGGUUGCGUCUACUCCGACACUGACUGCCAGCCCUGCGUGCGGGCGUCUGAGACCCCAUGUUCGGCUUGGGUCGCAGCACCUCCAGCGGCACGCAUGCGCCCCUCCGCGGGUUUUCCCAUAAGCAGACAGGCGGCCGUGCACAUCCCUGGGUUUCUCGCCCACGCAUCCAACCCUCCACCAACUGAAAACGGCCCCGAGGUUUGGAGUCCACGUGGGUGGAGGGUGGACUUCGGGUGCGCACGGGUGUCCGACUGCACGCGUCGGCGCCCCGACCCCCGCGUUUCGUGGGUGGGCGCUGCGUGUACCGGGACGUGGGGCUGCUGGGUCGUGAGUUUGGAGGAACCUCCGGGCUGCCCUGCACUGCAGCGGCGCAGAUGCGCAGUCCCGCCGGGGCUCCAGGCCGCUUUCGGCGUGCGGGGCGUGCUCCAGCCUGCGCUCCGGCCUGCGCUCUGGCCUGCGCUCCGGCCUGCCACCUUUUCCCCUGUGCACGUGCGCGCUGGCGUGGACGCAGGGAAGCUUCUGGACCCGUCCUGUGCCCAUAUUCUAAUCAGGUUAACUGGGAUUUUGUCGAGCUGGAGGAGUUCCUGUUCUGCAUGUUGGUCCCGCCUCAGUUAUGUGGUUUACACGUUUUCUCCCGGUUGUUUCGUUGGCUUCACAGCAGUUUUAAGUUCGAUGUGGUCCAGUUUGUCUACUUCUGAUUAUGUUGCCUGUGCAUUUAGGAAUACAUUUUUACUUUUCCUGUUUUGGAACUUUCCCGAAGCCUGUUACGUUUCCAGUCACGUUAUCCCCAUUUACGUAGGCAGCGUCUUUCUUCCUUUCCGGCUGUCUUUUUGUUGGUCUGACUUUAAUUUUUAGUGCUUUUCUCUUCACUGCCGUUUCCUGUGACUCCCAGCAUCUUACCACAUGGGUUUUAUAAUUUCGUUUGGCUGAGCACCAUCCUGGAGCAACUUUCCUCCCGGAAAGGGCCUGUGGGCGCAAAACUUGGAGCCCUUCAUACUCCGGGGGGGUCUUGAUUCAUUCAUUCUUGAUUCUUCCCUCGUUCUUGGACGGUCGCCUGGCUCGGUGUUGGAUCUUUGUUUCUGGAAGUCCACCCUUCGUGUGGCAAUGGCCUGCGAGGGCGCUGUGGGUGACCUGCAGCAGGGGGCUUGGGAAAGGCAGAGGAAGGAGGGGCCGGGCUGCGUACCCUCCAGCGGGAGGCUGCACACAGGGCUCCUGGUUUGGGGGCUGCUGGUGGCACACCCCAGGCUCCAGGGGACAGUGGGACAGAUGGGGGGGGGGAGGGCAGGCAGCAGAAACUGAGGGUCUGAAAGUGCAGCCCCGUGGAGCACGUGGCUGGGCACCGGGCCAGGGGCCAAGGGCAGGUCCGGUUCUGGCGUGGGAUAGUGGCAGCACAGAGUUCUGGUCAGGGCCAUUUGGAGGUGAGCGGAUGGAGGCAUAGGGCUGGCUCGGGGCCCGAGGAGGAUGCUGACAUGACAGGCCACGUUUAGAGUUGUAAUGAGUGUUGAUGGCACUGUGACACCCUGGGGUGGGCCAGCGGAGUAUCUGCCAUGUGGCCAGUGGGCCCUCACACCCACCAGCAGUGCUGGGCGGUGGUCUUGUUACCUGCACCCCAGACAUGCACCAGGUGCAAGCUGCUUUCUUCAGAAGUUGGAGUUACAUUUUACCAUUAUCUUGCAGUAUAAAUUGUUGGGACUGGGUACCGGCGAUGGACUGAAGAUGAAAUUAUAGCAUCGCCUGCUUCCUUUUGGGAUAAAAUUUGAAAAUGGAGCCGGCCUUGGCAUCUCCCCAGCAUCGCCGUCAGCUCUGUGCCCUACGAAACACUGAACAAACGCUUUCGAGCUGCUCAGAAGAACAUCGACCGUGAGACGAGCCACGUCACCAUGGUGGUGGCUGAGCUGGAGAAGACCCUGAGCAGCUGCCCUGCCGUGGACUCGGUGGUCAGCC